rnacentral:rRNA from 1 species
GAUGAACGCUGACAGAAUGCUUAACACAUGCAAGUCCACUUGAAUUUGGGUUUUUAACUUAGGUUUGGGUGGCGGACGGGUGAGUAACGCGUAAAGAACUUGCCUCACAGCUAGGGACAACAUUUGGAAACGAAUGCUAAUACCUAAUAUUAUGAUAAUAGGGCAUCCUAUAAUUAUGAAAGCUAUAAGCGCUGUGAGAGAGCUUUGCGUCCCAUUAGCUAGUUGGAGAGGUAACGGCUCACCAAGGCGAUGAUGGGUAGCCGGCCUGAGAGGGUGAUCGGCCACAAGGGGACUGAGGCACGGCCCUUACUCCUACGGGAGGCAGCAGUGGGGAAUAUUGGACAAUGGACCGAGAGUCUGAUCCAGCAAUUCUGUGUGCACGAUGAAGUUUUUCGGAAUGUAAAGUGCUUUCAGUUGGGAAGAAACAAAUGACGGUACCAACAGAAGAAGUGACGGCUAAAUACGUG